AUUGAACGCUGGCGGCAUGCUUUACACAUGCAAGUCGAACGGCAGCACGGGGGCAACCCUGGUGGCGAGUGGCGAACGGGUGAGUAAUAUAUCGGAACGUACCCGGAAAUGGGGGAUAACGUAGCGAAAGUUACGCUAAUACCGCAUAUGCCCUAAGGGGGAAAGCGGGGGAUUCGCAAGAACCUCGCGUUUUCGGAGCGGCCGAUAUCGGAUUAGCUAGUAGGUGAGGUAAAGGCUCACCUAGGCGACGAUCUGUAGCGGGUCUGAGAGGAUGAUCCGCCACACUGGGACUGAGACACGGCCCAGACUCCUACGGGAGGCAGCAGUGGGGAAUUUUGGACAAUGGGCGAAAGCCUGAUCCAGCCAUGCCGCGUGAGUGAAGAAGGCCUUCGGGUUGUAAAGGCUCUUUCGGUGGGGUAAGGAAAGUUAGCAUAGGCUAAUACCCUGUGUAGAUGACGGUACCUGGAGAA
rnacentral:rRNA from 1 species